CCCUUAGAUGUUCUGGGCCGCACGCGCGCUACAAUGAUGCAGGCAACGAGUGCUGCUCCUUGGCCGAAAGGCUUGGGGAACCUUGAAAACUGCAUCGUGCUAGGGAUAGAUGAUUGCAAUCGUGCAUCCUGAACGAGGAAUGCCUUGUAAGCGUGAGUCAUCAACUCGCGCUGAAUACGUCCCUGCCCUUUGUACACACCGCCCGUCGCUCCUACCGAUUGAAUGUUCCGGUGAGCUCUUCGGACUGCGCGGUCUGCAGUUUCUGCGUUCCGUGCGGAAAGUUGCGCAAACCUUAACAUUUAGAGGAAGGAGAAGUCGUAACA
rnacentral:rRNA from 1 species